rnacentral:rRNA from 1 species
CCUACGGGAGGCAGCAGUGGGGGAUAUUGCACAAUGGGGGGAACCCUGAUGCAGCGACGCCGCGUGAGGGAUGAAGGUCUUCGGAUCGUAAACCUCUGUCAGCAGGGAAGAACGGUCACUGUGCUAAUCAGCAGUGAAUUGACGGUACCUGCAAAGGAAGCACCGGCUAACUCCGUGCCAGCAGCCGCGGUAAUACGGAGGGUGCGAGCGUUAAUCGGAAUUACUGGGCGUAAAGCGCUCGUAGGCGGUAUGUCAAGUCAAGGGUGAAAUCCCCGCGCUCAACGUGGGAACUGCCUUUGAAACUGGCAAACUGGAGUGUGUGAGAGGAUAGUGGAAUUCCAGGUGUAGGGGUGAAAUGCGUAGAUAUCUGGAGGAACAUCAGUGGCGAAGGCGACUAUCUGGCACAUAACUGACGCUGAGGAGCGAAAGCGUGGGUAGCAAACAGGAUUAGAUACCCGAGUAGUC